AGCGAACGCUGGCGGCAGGCCUAGCACAUGCAAGUCGAACGGACCCUUCGGGGUUAGUGGCGGACGGGUGAGUAACACGUGGGAACGUGCCUUUAGGUUCGGAAUAGCUCCUGGAAACGGGUGGUAAUGCCGAAUGUGCCCUUCGGGGGAAAGAUUUAUCGCCUUUAGAGCGGCCCGCGUCUGAUUAGCUAGUUGGUGAGGUAAUGGCUCACCAAGGCGACGAUCAGUAGCUGGUCUGAGAGGAUGACCAGCCACAUUGGGACUGAGACACGGCCCAAACUCCUACGGGAGGCAGCAGUGGGGAAUCUUGCGCAAUGGGCGAAAGCCUGACGCAGCCAUGCCGCGUGAAUGAUGAAGGUCUUAGGAUUGUAAAAUUCUUUCACCGGGGACGAUAAUGACGGUACCCGGAGAAGAAGCCCCGGCUAACUUCGUGCCAGCCGCCGCUGUAAGAC
rnacentral:rRNA from 1 species